GUUCAUGACGUAGUUGAUAAGACAGCGUAUCACGGUAGGAUCGUCCCGUACGACAAAACAAUAUUAGACAUCCGAUUUCACAGGGAAUCGCCUUGCUUCGUUACUUUGCAUUGAGGGAACGUGGAUGUAACGCGCGGUGAUAAGGAAGGAAGACAAAGGAAGGCAGGAAGAAAAUAUGGAGUUUUGGCGGCGUCUUCACAAAGCAAAAGUAGCAUGCCAGUCAGCCAGCCAGCAGCAGCAGCCGCAGUAGCAAUUAGUACAUGUGAAUCAUGAAAGCAGGCAACCAGAGGGCAGUGAGCAGGUGGGCCAGCACCCUGGAUGCUCUGCAAUGGAGGAGUAAAAACGCCCCUGUUUUUUAAUGCAGAGGACUUUGGAACAAGAUGUAUCUGGGGCUCGCCCUAGGGUCGUGUUAAUUAGUUAACCAUGACAUAAAAAUGGAGAUCGUUUUUAACGUUUUCGAGACUUGUUAGUUUAAGCAGUGAGAUCUAGCUUUGUUGUUGUUUGUAUUAUUAUAAGGGAGAGAACAUGAAUGUGCGGCCUUUGGGAAGUGAGAUUUACUGCUCCAAGGAAACAAUGUCGAGCCCCGUCAACAGGGUGUUUAAUUUACUA